rnacentral:rRNA from 1 species
UACGGGGGGGGUAAGCGUUGUUCGGAAUUACUGGGCGUAAAGGGCUCGUAGGCGGCCAACUAAGUCAGACGUGAAAUCCCUCAGCUUAACUGGGGAACUGCGUCUGAUACUGGAUGGCUUGGAUUCGGGAGAGGAAUGCGGAAUUCCAGGUGUAGCGGUAGAAAUGCGUAGAUAUCUGGAGGAACACCGGUGGCGAAGGCGGCAUUCUGGACCGAUAUUGACGCUGAGGAGCGAAAAGCCAGGGGAGCAAAGCGGGG